rnacentral:rRNA from 1 species
UACGAAGGGUGCAAGCGUUAAUCGGAAUUACUGGGCGUAAAGCGUGCGCAGGCGGUUAUAUAAGACAGAUGUGAAAUCCCCGGGCUCAACCUGGGAACUGCAUUUGUGACUGUAUAGCUAGAGUACGGUAGAGGGGGAUGGAAUUCCGCGUGUAGCAGUGAAAUGCGUAGAUAUGCGGAGGAACACCAAUGGCGAAGGCAAUCCCCUGGGCCUGUACUGACGCUCAUGCACGAAAGCGUGGGGAGCAAACAGG